rnacentral:rRNA from 1 species
UGUGAACUCGAAGAGUAGGGCGGGACACGUGGUAUCCUGUCUGAAUAUGGGGGGACCAUCCUCCAAGGCUAAAUACUCCUGACUGACCGAUAGUGAACCAGUACCGUGAGGGAAAGGCGAAAAGAACCCCGGCGAGGGGAGUGAAAAAGAACCUGAAACCGUGUACGUACAAGCAGUAGGAGCCCACUGGUUGGGUGACUGCGUACCUUUUGUAUAAUGGGUCAGCGACUUAUAUUCUGUAGCAAGGUUAACCGUAUAGGGGAGCCGCAGGGAAACCGAGUCUUAACUGGGCGUUAAGUUGCAGGGUAUAGACCCGAAACCCGGUGAUCUAGCCAUGGGCAGGUUGAAGGUUGGGUAACACUAACUGGAGGACCGAACCGACUAAUGUUGAAAAAUUAGCGGAUGACUUGUGGCUGGGGGUGAAAGGCCAAUCAAACCGGGAGAUAGCUGGUUCUCCCCGAAAGCUAUUUAGGUAGCGCCUCGUGAAUUCAUCUUCGGGGGUAGAGCACUGUUUCGGCUAGGGGGUCAUCCCGACUUACCAACCCGAUGCAAACUACGAAUACCGAAGAAUGUUAUCACGGGAGACACACGGCGGGUGCUAACGUCCGUCGUGAAGAGGGAAACAACCCAGACCGCCAGCUAAGGUCCCAAAGUCAUGGUUAAGUGGGAAACGAUGUGGGAAGGCCCAGACAGCCAGGAUGUUGGCUUAGAAGCAGCCAUCAUUUAAAGAAAGCGUAAUAGCUCACUGGUCGAGUCGGCCUGCGCGGAAGAUGUAACGGGGCUAAACCAUGCACCGAAGCUGCGGCAGCGACACUAUGUGUUGUUGGGUAGGGGAGCGUUCUGUAAGCCGUUGAAGGUGGCCUGUGAGGGUUGCUGGAGGUAUCAGAAGUGCGAAUGCUGACAUAAGUAACGAUAAUGCGGGUGAAAAACCCGCACGCCGGAAGACCAAGGGUUCCUGUCCAACGUUAAUCGGGGCAGGGUGAGUCGACCCCUAAGGCGAGGCCGAAAGGCGUAGUCGAUGGGAAACAGGUUAAUAUUCCUGUACUCGGUGUUACUGCGAAGGGGGGACGGAGAAGGCUAUGUUGGCCGGGCGACGGUUGUCCCGGUUUAAGCAUGUAGGCGGAUGUUCCAGGUAAAUCCGGAACGUCACUAACGCUGAGGUGUGAUGACGAGGCACUACGGUGCUGAAGUGACAAAUGCCCUGCUUCCAGGAAAAGCCUCUAAGCAUCAGGUAACAUCAAAUCGUACCCCAAACCGACACAGGUGGUCAGGUAGAGAAUACCAAGGCGCUUGAGAGAACUCGGGUGAAGGAACUAGGCAAAAUGGUGCCGUAACUUCGGGAGAAGGCACGCUGAUGGUAACAGCACUGUGCAAACACGAAAGUGGACGUAUACGGUGUGACGCCUGCCCGGUGCCGGAAGGUUAAUUGAUGGGGUUAUCCUCGCGGAGAAGCUCUUGAUCGAAGCCCCGGUAAACGGCGGCCGUAACUAUAACGGUCCUAAGGUAGCGAAAUUCCUUGUCGGGUAAGUUCCGACCUGCACGAAUGGCGUAAUGAUGGCCAGGCUGUCUCCACCCGAGACUCAGUGAAAUUGAACUCGCUGUGAAGAUGCAGUGUACCCGCGGCAAGACGGAAAGACCCCGUGAACCUUUACUAUAGCUUGACACUGAACACUGGUCCUUGAUGUGUAGGAUAGGUGGGAGGCUUUGAAGUGUGGACGCCAGUCUGCAUGGAGCCAUCCUUGAAAUACCACCCUUUAAUGGCUGGUGUUCUAACGUGGGCCCGUAAUCCGGGUUGCGGACAGUGUCUGGUGGGUAGUUUGACUGGGGCGGUCUCCUCCUAAAGAGUAACGGAGGAGCACGAAGGUCAGCUAAUCCUGGUCGGACAUCAGGAGGUUAGUGCAAUGGCAUAAGCUGGCUUGACUGCGAGCGUGACGGCGCGAGCAGGUGCGAAAGCAGGUCAUAGUGAUCCGGUGGUUCUGAAUGGAAGGGCCAUCGCUCAACGGAUAAAAGGUACUCCGGGGAUAACAGGCUGAUACCGCCCAAGAGUUCAUAUCGACGGCGGUGUUUGGCACCUCGAUGUCGGCUCAUCACAUCCUGGGGCUGAAGUAGGUCCCAAGGGUAUGGCUGUUCGCCAUUUAAAGUGGUACGCGAGCUGGGUUUAGAACGUCGUGAGACAGUUCGGUCCCUAUCUGCCGUGGGCGCUGGAGAAUUGAGGGGGGCUGCUCCUAGUACGAGAGGACCGGAGUGGACGCAUCACUGGUGUUCGGGUUGUCAUGCCAAUGGCAUUGCCCGGUAGCUAAAUGCGGAAGAGAUAAGUGCUGAAAGCAUCUAAGCACGAAACUUGCCCCGAGAUGAGUUCUCCCUGACCCUUUAAGGGUCCUGAAGGAACGUUGAAGACGACGACGUUGAUAGGCCGGGUGUGUAAGCGCAGCGAUGCGUUGAGCUAACCGGUACUAAUGAACCGUGAGGCUUAACCUU